UACGGAGGGUGCAAGCGUUAAUCGGAAUUACUGGGCGUAAAGCGUACGUAGGCGGUUUUGUAAGUUGGGUGUGAAAGCCCCGGGCUUAACCUGGGAACUGCAUCCAAAACUGCAAGGCUAGAGUGUGGAAGAGGAAGGUGGAAUUUCCUGUGUAGCGGUGAAAUGCGUAGAUAUAGGAAGGAACAUCAGUGGCGAAGGCGACCUUCUGGUCCAACACUGACGCUGAGGUACGAAAGCGUGGGUAGCAAACAGG
rnacentral:rRNA from 1 species